rnacentral:piRNA from 1 species
UCCUUGGUGGCCAGGGUCAGGAAACAGU